AACCAGCACCUCAAGUGGUCAGGAUGAUUAUUGGGCCUAAAGCAUCCGUAGCCGGCUCAGUAAGUUUUCGGUUAAAUCUGUACGCUUAACGUACAGGCUGCCGGGAAUACUGCAGAGCUAGGGAGUGGGAGAGGUAGACGGUACUCGGGAGGAAGUGGUAAAAUGCUUUGAUCUUUCGAUGACCACCUGUGGCGAAGGCGGUCUACCAGAACACGUCCGACGGUGAGGGAUGAAAGCUGGGGGAGCAAGCCGGAUUAGAAACCCCGGUAGUCC
rnacentral:rRNA from 1 species